rnacentral:lncRNA from 1 species
AACAUGAGCGGUAUGAGGCAAGAGUUGGUCCCUGGUUCUGUGUCAAUCAGUCUUGGUUGAUGGGUUCGGCAUUGUCUGGAUACCGAGUCUGCUUUUGCUCGUCUUGGGUCAGUUCUUGAGCACCUAACUAUUCUCUUGGGGACUUACUUAACUUAUGUUUUCCUCCAAUUGUUUUGGCUUGCUUACUUUUGUUUGUGCUGUUUAGAUUUAUUUUUGUUUUCUGCUACAACUUACCUCUGUAUCUUCUGUCACAAAUGGAAAAUUGGUAAUAAUACUUAAACAUUUUACCCAAAAAAAAAUUAUAUUGAUUGAUAGCUUGUUAUAUUGAGAACUAUUAUUUUAGUGUUCAACGUGGCUACAUCGAGUAUGUACCGAUAUCUUCUACUCCAUGUAGCCAUGUAGAAGAAGAUAUCGUAUAAUCAAAGAGUAAGAAGACAACAUACUGUAUUUUUGAAGUACAAAUGAACCUUCUCCUAUUUUUGCUGUAACCGUUUUUUCCUCCAUAACUUUUUGGCUAAUCUUAGAAUUGAGUUUUUGAUUUCGUUGACCAUGCCUAGAUUUAUAAUAAUGAGGUUCAUAAUCAGUUUUAGUUCGAGAAUAGAGAGGACAAUACGAUACAAGUACUGUAUGAUAUCUUUAAUAUGCCUUUUGUUCUUCUCAACAUCUAAACAAGAGCACUAAUGUACUUUCGAAACUUGGAAUCCCUUGGUUUUCAGAUACAUAUACAGGCUAGGCCAUCAUGACUUGGUCAUAAUAUUUGGAGCAAGACUCAUUUGCACUGUUUUGGCUUGCACUCACGAAUAGCUGCGACCCCACCAAAUGAGCUUCAUAAUUUUUCUUUCUUACACUUAUUAGCAUUAUUGUUUCUUUUUGAUACAGGUUUUACAAAAUUAUCAUGGAAAAUACUUGUUGAUUUGUUUAGUUGCAGAGAUCAUCUCUGUACUAACUAAAAUUUUGACUCUCUUUGUCUUCUGCACAAAACACAACACAGCGACCAAAUGGUAUUAUUUCUCUUCUCUUCACUCAGAUAUCUCUACCUCAGGGGACUUGUCUUGUUGCUUCUCAAGUGAUAUCAAGAUCAUCAACUUUGAGGGCACGAUCUUUGAUGGGGGAGGAGUAUUAACACUAAACACCUUGUAUGACAAAACUAUGAGUUGUAUAAUGUAUAUCUUUGUAUAAUGUAUAUCUAGUCCACUUACAUUGUUGUUGGCUUGGAAAUUUUCAAAGUAGAGUUGAGAGGGAGAUUUCAAAGAUUGAAGGAUAGAGAAUAUAAAAUUUUACAGUGACGAGGCCGAUGUAGAGGAUAAUCGAUCGUUGUGACGGCUUCGGACCACUCAACAGUUCCCCAAAUCUCGCCAGUUUCUUUGCGCCUUUGUAAAGAGAUCUCUGCACACCAAAUCUCCCAUUUCCUAUUAGCAGGAGAGUCCCAGAAGAGUAACAUGUUGGGACCAGAGUUGCUCAGUUUGUGACCGGGAAAUAUACCGUCAAGGUGUAGGGAUGGCAAACCCCAACCAUAAUUGACCACUUUGGAGGCACAAAGGGUGCCCCUUAGAUCCUCCAAGCCCAUAACUUGUCUCCACUUCAUCCCAACCGCGGACUCCUCCAAAUCACUUGCCUCACACCACAAUAUCCACCCACCGGUUACACAAGAGUAGAUGACAUUGUCGAUCACAUGCCAACCCUUUCUAAGUUCGUUGGUAUCCGAGUUCCCUGUUUUCCAUAUGCCUUGACUCGGAAUGUAAAGCAGUCCAUCACCUUUGUCAUUCAAACCGAAAAUCUUCUUUGUCUUCUCCUCCUCUAUCAGUGCGAUAAAUGGAAAAUUGGUAAUAAUACUUAAACAUUUUACCCAAAAAAAAAUUAUAUUGAUUGAUAGCUUGUUAUAUUGAGAACUAUUAUUUUAGUGUUCAACGUGGCUACAUCGAGUAUGUACCGAUAUCUUCUACUCCAUGUAGCCAUGUAGAAGAAGAUAUCGUAUAAUCAAAGAGUAAGAAGACAACAUACUGUAGUAAACAAAGUUUAAAAACAUAGUCUAAGCUAAACAAGAAAUUUAAUGCUGCUUAUGCCCGCCCCCGAGGAUCACCAAGCAGUUGUAUCUAUUUCCGAGGCGGUCAGGAAUGAGUAUGAAAUGUUCACUUUCUCUAACCUUCCUUGAAAUCUUUACUUCUGCUUGAUUCGGCUUGAAUGACGUCUCCUUUGAUGGCUCUGUGUCAGUCUGCGAAAAUCAGGAAGACUAUCAUGAUUAUGUACAAAAGCUUCCAAAACUACUUGAAAACUCCAAUUGUAAAACAAGAAUAAGCACAUUAGGUGAAAAAUAUUCAUUUUUCAGCCUAUAAGGCAAAAGAAAACUAUAAAAGUUUUUUUCAGAAUAAAUCUUACCUCAUUGUCAAGUUAUUUUUCUGCUUGUUUUGGAUUGGAUGGGGCCUCAUUCGAUGACUCUGUCUCAUUCUGGAAAAAUCAAAAAGGAUAUCAUGAUUAUAUACAAAAGCUUCCAGAACUACAUAAAAACUCUAAGUGUAAAAUAAGAUUUGAGCUUAUACGUGUUGUGUCUCAUUAGGGGGAAGAAACUUGAGUCCUAGUCUGUGGAGACAAUGGAGAGCCAAGUGUCGCAUUCGAUGACUCUGUCUUUCUACAAAAACAAAAUCAAGAAGGCUGUCAUGAUUAUGUACAAAAGCUUAAAAACUACUUGAAACUCCAAGUGUAAAACAAGAUUUGAGCAUAUAUGUGUUGUGUCAUAUUAGGAGAAAAAACUUGAGUCCCAGUCUGUGGAGACAAUGGAAAGGCAAGUGUUUCAUUCGAUGGCUCUGUCUCAUUCUGCAAAAAAAAAUCAGGAAGGCUAUCAUGAUAAUGUAUAAAUGCUUCCAAAACGUUUUGUUCUGACGAAAUCAAUGUUAUGAGUUGAACAAAUUGUAUUGAGUUUUUGUUUCUAUGUUCAGAUAGUACCAGAGAAGUGCAAAUAUGAAAUUUCAAGCCUUAUCGACUAAUUCUCUAUACGACUCAGCUUAAGAUACUAUGUUCUGAAUGCUAACUUAUUUUUAUGUAUGUUCCUAACAAGAAAAAGCUAUAAAUUUUAGAGGAACAAGAGAACUACAACAUCGACACACACAUGUUUGAAACAAUAUCAUAUCACCCAAUCUACCUGGAUGACACAAUCAGACCAAAAAUUUGAAUCUGAGAGAAAUAAAGCAUUGGUCAAAGAAGAACUAGGAACAUCAAAGAUUCAAAAUGGCUUACCAAAAAGUAAGGUCACGAACUCGUCUUCUUCCAUAAGCCAAGUUCUGUAAAUGAAACUUCCUGAGAUUCUUUCUUUGUAAUUUUGACUAUGUUCUCUCGGUUUGAUUUGAACAACAAACAAGCUCAAAUCUAUUAUAUGAAGAACUACAAAUUGAAACCCCCAAAUUUCAAUUCGACCCGAAAUUUUUGAAUUGAGAUUGAAAUUUUUCUUUGUAAACCAUUGUCAAUAUUGAUUGAAACAUACCGAUACACAGCUCGUUUCGUCGACAUGGAGGGAUAAUCACCGCUUCGUUCCUCGCCGGACUUCAACAGCUCGUCGCCGGAAGUGACUCGUCGCCGGAGAUUACUUCAUAUUUUUUUGGUGGAGACAAUAUUACAGUUGAAAGAAGGGCAUUAUAGUCUUUAGUUCUAUUAAUGAAGGCUAUUAUUCUGAUUUCCAAUUUGAGAGGAUACAUUUGAGACAAAAACUUAAAAAUGAUUAUUUAGGAAAAUAGCCCUUAAAUAAAUUUUAUUAAAUAAAUUAACCUUUUAGAUAUUAUUCCAUAACUAUCUAUCCGAUAAAUAAAUACUUAUAUAGCAAUGAUAUUAUCCUAAGUUACUAAACAAUGACCCUAUAUUACAUUCCUGUUGAAAAUAAUAAAUACUAACCAUGCAAAUCCUAAACCCCUGUGUACCUAUAUUAUAUUAUAUUUUAUUUGCCUUUUUAUAUUAUGAUAUGACACUUACAGGAGAAGGUAUAUUGAAUUGUUAAGUAACUUAGGAUUUACAAUGUGAUUUAAGUUUUGUUUGAUUUUUUAUUUCAAAAUAAAUAAUAACGUUCAGAACUUUGAGAUAUUUUCAAAAUAUGUAUAUUUUCAGAAUAGGUUUGUAAAAAGAAUAAUAUUUAGCAAAUAUAUCUAAUGUUAAAAUAUACACAACUCUACACUCUUCAAUUAUUCUCACUGUCUUUCAUUUGUCACUAAAAAAACUGACUUUUAAAAUACAAUAGUAUUUAUGAUAACAAAUGCUUAAUAAUUAUAUUUAGGUACGGAAUGUAUAGUUAUAGAAAUUAAACUUAUAAAUAUAUGUAACCUAUACUAAUUUAUUUGAAAAAAACAGUUCCGCGUUUUUAAAGCGCGGAUCAGAAUCUAAUUAUAUUUAAAAAACCUUUUCAAAAUUAUAACGAGAGAAAAAGUUUUUCUUAAAUAAAACUAAUCUAUUUGGUACUUUUUUAGUAAUCAGUGAUCCGGUAAGACUUAAAUUGUUCGAAAGUCUUGAAAAACAACAACAUCCAAUUAUAUCGCUUCCACUAAAUACUCUAAAAAUUUGAGCAAAAAAAUCAUAUAAAAACUUAGACCAUGCUCAUUAUCUAUACUGUUAAUUUAGACUAGAUGUUUUUCUGCACCAUGUGCAGUGAUAAAAGUUUACAUUAUAUUUUAAAAAAUUUGUUAAUAUUUUAUAUUUUAUUGUUUUGAACUAAUAUUUUAAUAAAAAUACUAAAUACUAAUUUAGUUAAACAUAGAAUUACAAUAAAAUAAAAAAUUUUGAUUUACUUAAAAUAAUUUCAAGUUAUAUUUAAAAUUAUAUUUUACAAAGAUAUUCAUUUAUUUAUUUUGGUUAAGAUAAAUUAAAUUAACUUGUAUACAGUAAAAUUGAUACAAAUUUUUUUAUAACUUUUUUUUUACAAAAAUAAACACUAAACUAUGAACUAAUUACUACCGGUUCAGAUAAUAUUUUUUUUAUAAUUAUUAAAAAAUAAAUAAAAAAUAAUUCCUAAAAUUUGUAGAUAUCAAAAAUAAACAAAUGAUAUCACGAUUAAAAAUUAAAUUUUUAAAAAAGGAUUGUAUAACAUUUUGAAAAUAUUUUUUAAUAAUAAAAUUUUUAUGAUUAUAAAAAUAUAUUUAAAUACUAUUUAGAAAUUUUAAAAUCUUUUAUAUUUCCAUUGUCAUAUUAUGUAAUGACAUAUUUGAAUAGAUUUAUUUUAAUGAUGAUUUAUGAGUUAUUACCAUAUUAUCAAAACUUACCAAAAAUUGAAAUUAACACUAAAUGUUGUUGUCCAUGUCACUUUUAACCAUAAACCGUGUCAUUAAUUUUAUUAUUUCAUGUCACAUUUUUGUGGUGAAAUUGAUUGUGGAGAUGACAUGCGUGAAAUCACUUCACAAAUAACGUCUAGACGAUUCUUAUAUUUAUCUAUUGAUAAAAAAAUUUCUUUUAACUUUUGGAACUUCUCAUAAUUCUAUCAUUUACUAUACACACGCUUUUUAUACAUCAUACUUAAUAUUGACUGAUUACUUAAUUUAAACAGAUAUUCUUUUAAACCAUACUUUGGUUUUCAAAUACAAAUAAAGAAAAAUACAAAGAAUCGCAACAAUACAAAUAAAGAACAAUUUAAUAUUCAUUUUUUUAUAUAAAUGUAAGCAAUAUUAUAUUGUAAAAGCUUUUUAUUCUCCAAAAUUCUCGUGUUGUCGUUAUAGCAAACUUGUUUUUUUUAUAUUAUAGCAUAAAACUAAAAUCAGUGAUUUUGAAAUAUUUUUAAACUUCUUCAUUUUUAGGUACCAAAUAUUGUAACAAGUUUUAUAUAUUUUUUUUUGAUUUUGCGUGGUAAAAUUUUGACUAUUAAAUAUAUUAUCGGAUUAGGAACUUGGAUUUGUUAGGAUAAAUUGGAUGGAUAUUGUUAAGAAAUUUUAUGAUCUAAUCUAUUUAUGUUAUACACUGUAGAAGCUUUUGUUUUUGAAACAUUUUGUAAUAAAAAAAAACAAAAUAUUUGUAGACAUUCAAAAUGUUACAUCAUUAAACUAUAUAUAUAAUAUAUAUACAGUGAAACGUCUAUAAAUUAAUAAUGUUGGGUUUAGAGCAAAACUAUAAAUUUUUUUAUUAAUAUAUAGAGAUAUUAAUUUAUAGAUAUACUAAUUAAAUCAAAAAUUCGAUUUGAGACUAUAAAAUAUAGAGAUUUUCGGUUUAUAUUAAUUUUCAGAUUUUUCAGAUCUCGGCGUUUCUUCCAAGUUGACUCAGUGGGAGUCCUCCUCCUUAGUCGGUGUGACUUUCGGCGGAGAUUGGUAGGUUUCUCCGGUUCUCCGGAAGCAUCGUUUUCAUCCUGGGCCCUACAUCCCAGCGCCGGCGAUGGAUCUCCGGUCUCGUCCGGUGUUUGCUGUUCCGGUUAUCGUUGCUGUCAUCGGGUCCGCUUUCAGUGUAUUUUGGCGUUGGAGCGAGUAUCGAGUCCGGUGGUGGCGGUUUGUUUACAUCCGCCGCCUACCACAUUGAAGCUGUGCCUUUCCACUUCAAUGUAAUCUCUUCUUCUCCUCUGUCCUCUGUGAACCUGAGUUGCGAUGCCUUGGCCUGCUCUGCUCUCGUAUGUGGAUCUCGGAUUGGUGUUGGCUGUAACAUGAGCGGUAUGAGGCAAGAGUUGGUCCCUGGUUCUGUGUCAAUCAGUCUUGGUUGAUGGGUUCGGCAUUGUCUGGAUACCGAGUCUGCUUUUGCUCGUCUUGGGUCAGUUCUUGAGCACCUAACUAUUCUCUUGGGGACUUACUUAACUUAUGUUUUCCUCCAAUUGUUUUGGCUUGCUUACUUUUGUUUGUGCUGUUUAGAUUUAUUUUUGUUUUCUGCUACAACUUACCUCUGUAUCUUCUGUCACAAAUGGAAAAUUGGUAAUAAUACUUAAACAUUUUACCCAAAAAAAAAUUAUAUUGAUUGAUAGCUUGUUAUAUUGAGAACUAUUAUUUUAGUGUUCAACGUGGCUACAUCGAGUAUGUACCGAUAUCUUCUACUCCAUGUAGCCAUGUAGAAGAAGAUAUCGUAUAAUCAAAGAGUAAGAAGACAACAUACUGUAUUUUUGAAGUACAAAUGAACCUUCUCCUAUUUUUGCUGUAACCGUUUUUUCCUCCAUAACUUUUUGGCUAAUCUUAGAAUUGAGUUUUUGAUUUCGUUGACCAUGCCUAGAUUUAUAAUAAUGAGGUUCAUAAUCAGUUUUAGUUCGAG